UCACUGUGUACCUCAUGGUGUUCUUCCUAAC
rnacentral:piRNA from 1 species